UACGUAGGGUGCAAGCGUUGUCCGGAAUUAUUGGGCGUAAAGAGCUCGUAGGCGGUUUGUCGCGUCUGCUGUGAAAAACUCGGGGCUUAACUCCGGGCCUGCAGUGGGUACGGGCAGACUAGAGUGCGGUAGGGGAGACUGGAAUUCCUGGUGUAGCGGUGAAAUGCGCAGAUAUCGGGAGGAACACCGGUGGCGAAGGCGGCCCCCUGGUUGGAUACUGACGCUGAGACGCGAAAGCGUGGGGAGCAAACAGG
rnacentral:rRNA from 1 species